rnacentral:rRNA from 1 species
CCAACAGGGAUUGCCCCAGUAACGGCGAGUGAAGCGGCAACAGCUCAAAUUUGAAAUCUGGCCCCUCGGGGUCCGAGUUGUAAUUUGUAGAGGAUGCUUUUGGUGAGGUGCCGCCCGAGUUCCCUGGAACGGGACGCCACAGAGGGUGAGAGCCCCGUCUGGCUGGCCACCGAGCCUCUGUAAAGCUCCUUCGACGAGUCGAGUAGUUUGGGAAUGCUGCUCAAAAUGGGAGGUAUAUGUCUUCUAAAGCUAAAUAUUGGCCAGAGACCGAUAGCGCACAAGUAGAGUGAUCGAAAGAUGAAAAGCACCUUGAAAAGAGGGUUAAAUAGUACGUGAAAUUGUUGAAAGGGAAGCGCUUGUGACCAGACUUGGGCGCGGCGGAUCAUCCGGGGUUCUCUCCGGUGCACUUCGCCGCGUCUAGGCCAGCAUCAGUUCGUCGCGGGGGAAAAAGGCUUCGGGAACGUGGCUCCUCCGGGAGUGUUAUAGCCCGUUGCAUAAUACCCUGCGGUGGACUGAGGACCGCGCAUCUGCAAGGAUGCUGGCGUAAUGGUCACCAGCGACCCGUCUUGAAACACGGACCAAGGAGUCGUCUUCGUAUGCGAGUGUUCGGGUGUCAAACCCCUACGCGUAAUGAAAGUGAACGCAGGUGAGAGCUUCGGCGCAUCAUCGACCGAUCCUGAUGUUCUCGGACGGAUUUGAGUAAGAGCAUACGGGGCCGGACCCGAAAGAAGGUGAACUAUGCCUGUAUAGGGUGAAGCCAGAGGAAACUCUGGUGGAGGCUCGCAGCGGUUCUGACGUGCAAAUCGAUCGUCAAAUAUGGGCAUGGGGGCGAAAGACUAAUCGAACCUUCUAGUAGCUGGGUUUCCGCCGAA